rnacentral:rRNA from 1 species
GAUGAACGCUAGCGGCAGGCUUAACACAUGCAAGUCGAGGGGUAACGACAGAGCUUGCUCUGGGCGACGACCGGCGCACGGGUGCGUAACACGUAUGCAACCUACCUAUCACUGGAGGAUAGCCAGGUGAAAACCUGAGUAAUACUCCAUAACACUUAACAAGGCAUCUUGAAGAGUUGAAAGUUCCGGCGGUGAUAGAUGGGCAUGCGGAUGAUUAGUUUGUUGGUGAGGUAACGGCUCACCAAGACUACGAUCAAUAGGGGGCCUGAGAGGGUUAUCCCCCACACUGGUACUGAGACACGGACCAGACUCCUACGGGAGGCAGCAGUGAGGAAUAUUGGACAAUGGGCGCAAGCCUGAUCCAGCCAUGCCGCGUGCAGGAAGAAUGCCCUACGGGUUGUAAACUGCUUUUGUUAGAGAAGAAACCCCGGGACGUGUCCCGGGCUGACGGUAUCUUUCGAAUAAGGACCGGCUAACUCCG